rnacentral:lncRNA from 1 species
GCUGGGGGGGCCCCUCUGUCCUGGGGGGGUCCCCUCUGUCCCUGGGGGGUCCCCCAUGUCCCUAAGGGUGUCCCCAGUCUCCCUUGGGGUGUCCCUGGGGGUGUCCCCUCUGUCCUCCCGCUUUGGGGUUCAUUAAUCCCUGUGUUCCCCCUCACUCUGACACCUUUGGGGUGUCCCCUCUACCCUUGGGGUGUCCCCCCCCUGUCCUGGGGGGGUUCCCUGUGUCCCUGGGGGGUCCCCUCUGUCCCAGGGGUGUCCCCCGUGUCCCUAAGGGUGUCCCCUCUCUUCUGGGGGUGUCCCCCCUGUCCCAGGGGUGUCUCCUGUGCCCCCUGGGGGUGUCCCCUCUCUUCUGGGGAUGUCCCUAAGGGUGUCCCCAGUCUCCCUUGGGGUGUCCCUGGGGGUGUCCCCUCUGUCCUCCCGCUUUGGGGUUCAUUAAUCCCUGUGUUCCCCCUCACUCUGACACCUUUGGGGUGUCCCCUCUACCCUUGGGGUGUCCCCCCCCUGUCCUGGGGGGGUUCCCUGUGUCCCUGGGGGGUCCCCUCUGUCCCAGGGGUGUCCCCCGUGUCCCUAAGGGUGUCCCCUCUCUUCUGGGGGUGUCCCCCCUGUCCCAGGGGUGUCUCCUGUGCCCCCUGGGGGUGUCCCCUCUCUUCUGGGGGUGUCCCCUGUGUCCCUUGGGGUGCCCCUGGGGGGGUCCCCUCUGUCCUUGGGGUGUCCCCAAGUCCCUGGAGGUGUCACCUCUGUUCUUGGGGUGUCCCCCCCUGUCCCGGGGGUGUCCCUGGGGGGGUCCCCUCUGUCCUUGGGGUGUCCCCCCUGUCCCCCGUGUCCCUAAGGGUGUCCCCUCUCUUCUGGGGGUGUCUCCUGUGUCCCCUGGGGGUGUCCCCUCUCUUCUGGGGGUGUCCCCUAUGCCCCUGGGGGUGUCCUCUCUUUUCUGGGGGUGUCCUCUCUGUCCCAGGGGUGUCCCCUCUACCUUUGGGGUGUCCCCCCUGUCCCCCGUGUCCCUAAGGGUGUCCCCUCUCUUCUGGGGGUGUCCCCUAUGCCCCUGGGGGUGUCCCCUAUGCCCCUGGGGGUGUCCCCUAUGCCCCUGGGGGUGUCCCCUAUGCCCCUGGGGGUGUCCUCUCUGUCCCAGGGGUGUCCCCUCUACCUUUGGGGUGUCCCCCCACCUUCUCUAGGGUUUUGACCCCCCAAAAACCCCACAAGGGGGGGUCCUCUCUCUUUA